GGGGGUGAGAAAGAGGCGAUGGUACGCAUCAAUUUGUAGUCUUCAGUUGGCACCCCUGUUUUUGUUUUUGGCCCGCAACGAGCAGAAAGAGGUCCGUCUGCGUUAUUGUUAUUAUCGGUGCCCGUUGCAAUAUGAGCCAGCACGAGCUUCUGUUGACAGACGGCCGGGCUCCGAGGCGUGCGUGUCGGCGUGCAACAUAAAACGACGAAACGGAGGCAGAGAAAGGACGAGAGAGUGAGAGUGAGAGCACACAUCGCGGGAUAUCAUAGGUUUUGGUAGCUUCCAUGGUGCAACAUACAGCUGUCUCAGUAACCAAAAGGAACCACUUCAGUCCCUGCAAUGGCUUGUGUUACAAAAUGGUCAUUUUAAAGAAGAAAUAAUGAAAACACGGACACACAAAGAAUCGAAACGUUAUUCUCCACUUGUUGUUCUAUCUACAUCCCAACCUGAUUUGAACAUACUUAGCUUUUUGUAUUCACCUUAUUUCCACUACAUUCAACAUAUCUCUUAUUUAACUCUGUAUUUUACUUUAUACCUAUGAAUCUUCAUUAUUUUAUCAAACAAUGCUUUCCUAUCCUGUCCCAAUUCUCCCUCCUUUGC